rnacentral:rRNA from 1 species
UACGAGGGGGGCAAGCGUUGUUCGGAAUUAUUGGGCGUAAAGGGCGCGUAGGCGGUGCGGUAAGUCACCUGUGAAAACUCUGGGUUCAACUCAGAGCCUGCAGGCGAAACUGCCGUGCUUGAGUGUGGGAGAGGUGAGUGGAAUUCCGAGUGUAGAGGUGAAAUUCGUAGAUAUUCGGAAGAACACCAGUGGCGAAGGCGGCUCACUGGACCGGUAUUGACGCUGAGGUGCGAAAGCGUGGGGAGCAAACAGG